rnacentral:rRNA from 1 species
GAUUGAACGCUGCGGCAUGCCUUACACAUGCAAGUCGAACGGCAGCACGGGGCAACCUGGUGGCGAGUGGCGAACGGGUGAGUAAUGCAUCGGAACGUGCCAUUGAGUGGGGGGUAACGUAGCGAAAGUUACGCUAAUACCGCAUAUUCUGUGAGCAGGAAAGCAGGGGAUCGCAAGACCUUGCGCUCUUUGAGCGGCCGAUGUCAGAUUAGCUAGUUGGUGAGGUAACGGCUUACCAAGGCGACGAUCUGUAGCGGGUCUGAGAGGAUGAUCCGCCACACUGGAACUGAGACACGGUCCAGACUCCUACGGGAGGCAGCAGUGGGGAAUUUUGGACAAUGGGGGCAACCCUGAUCCAGCCAUGCCGCGUGAGUGAAGAAGGCCUUCGGGUUGUAAAGCUCUUUCGGCCGGGAAGAAAUCGCAUGGGUUAAUACCCUGUGUGGAUGACGGUACCGGCAUAAGAAGCACCGGCUAACUACGUG